AACGAGCGCUGGCGGCAUGCCUAACACAUGCAAGUCGAACGAGACCUUCGGGUCUAGUGGCGCACGGGUGCGUAACGCGUGGGAAUCUGCCCUUGGGUUCGGAAUAACAGCGAGAAAUUGCUGCUAAUACCGGAUGAAGUCUUCGGACCAAAGAUUUAUGCGCCCAGGGAUGAGCCCGCGUAGGAUCAGGUAGUUGGUGGGGUAAUGGCUCACCAAGCCGACGAUCCUUAGCUGGUCUGAGAGGAUGAUCAGCCACACUGGGACUGAGACACGGCCCAGACUCCUGCGGGGAGCAGCAGUGGGGAAUAUUGGACAAUGGGCGAAAGCGUGAUCCAGCAAUGCCGCGUGCGUGAUGAAGGCCUUAGGGUUGUAAAGCUCUUUUACCAGGGAUGAUAAUGACAGUACCUGGAGAAUAAGCUCCGGCUAACUCCGUGCCAGCCGCCGCCGUAA
rnacentral:rRNA from 1 species